AAAACGGUCCUUUUCAGGACCACAGUUUAAUUACGAAUUGGGGCAUU
rfam:Euroglyphus maynei isolate Arlian Lab scaffold20388, whole genome shotgun sequence.